AGUGCCCAGCUCAAUAGAGCCCUGAGCUUGGCUGGGGUUCCCAAAACGCACCCCAUAAAAGUGGGAUGAGGACACAACCCUCAGUUACUUGUACAGAUGAGCUGGGACGGGCAUUUGGAUCCCCACUUUCCUCCACCUAUUUUACCUUUUCUCCUCCACCUAUAGCAACAGAGACUUCCCUGAUCAGAGGUGAUCUGUCAAGGAAAAGAAGAGGGCAGGGGCUGAGCUAUCCGUUGCUUCUUUCGGCUAGAGAAAGGAGACCCGAAAGGAUUUUUUUUUCCUUCCGCCCACCCCACAAAACGAUUGUUCAAGCGACUGCAUGAAGGACCCACCAGCCGGGCUGCACUGUCACUGAUCAGCUCCCAGACACACAAACGCCAACACCUGCCUCUGUCGGCACUGAGCCCCUCGCAGCUGGUUACUCGUCUCCCUGCAGAGCGACUGUAGCUCGCUCAGUGUCCUGCCGCCACUAUAUUCAGCACCACAAGGCUGCCACAUCCACAGGCCCCCAGGCUGGCAGCCCCACACCUGAUUCCCGAACGCUGGGGCUCUCUGGCUGCGGACUCGGCCCUGCGGGCAGUGCCCCACUUCCUGGCUGAAGACUCCCCCUUUCUGAUGCAACUGUCAGGGCUGCCACCUCUGGAUACAUAUCAAGCAGGUAGCCAGGGCCUGGGACACAACAAAAUGGUGGCAUGGACAGCAGGAAACUCAGCAGAGGGGCCGUGGAUGGGCCCUAGAGACUAACUCCCCAUUGACCCCUAGAAGUGGCCUCCAGGAUGGGGCUGAGGCACGUUGGUGGGAGUGGUGGGGGAGGUCACCCUGCUGACGGUGCAGCUGUUCUGCGUACCCCAGGUGUGUUUUCCCCAUGGUGACGGUGGGGCUAAGGCCAAGCAGCCCCCGAGGAAGCGUGCAUACUGGUUUCACUUCUCUUUCGCUUUCCGCCUCUCAGCUGCUUGCAUUGGCUCCUGGCUGUUUCUAGGCAGCUGGUGCAUUUCCUCCCAGAGCUGUUUCACGGGUCUCUUCCUCCAGCGCCGAGCAGGGGCUGCCUGGCCUUGUUCCCAAGGCCUGGAAUGCGCCGGAUGGCUCUGACCUGGAGCAGCACGCCCAGGGAGCUGAACCCAGCGCGAGGGCUGGCACGGAAAAACACAGCCAUGUAGCCGCCUAGUGUUCUCCACCCACGGAGCAGGAGCCUGUGAGGGAAACGGCAAAGCAGCAGGGAGGAAGGUGGUCCACAUAGACACGCCUCUGUCCGGGGUCUGGAGCAGAGCCAAACGGGGUCUUCUCCCCAGUUCUAUUCCAAGGGCCGAUCCACCACCCGCAGUGGGCAGCGAUAUUUAUGUGUGUGUGUGCAGUAGUCUGCAGCACCUAGGAGCCCCCCUCAUGGCCCAGGACCCCAUGGGCCUACGUGCUGUAGGGACACAGCCUCGGAUCCUUGAUUUAAAUGCAACUCAACCUUCACUAUGGAGCUGUGACCAGGGUCUUCGUAAUCCAGGAUAACCACAGCUGCAAGACACAGUUCAGAGGGCAGGUCCAGUCACUGAGAGCACCCACCCCAUCUAUCUGAAGAAACGGCAGGAGGACGAGCGGGCCAGAACCCGUGGCAGUGACAACAAGACCCAGAAUAGUAACAACCACAACACCGGGGCUGGCCCUCUGCUCGGCGACCCUUGGCGGGGAACCUUCUUCUCGGUCUCGUCCAGUGCUGACUCAGUCCUGCAUUGCAUGUUUAUGCCCAAAUGAUUGGUGCUUCUCCGGUAGCAAGGCUAAAUAUACCCCCCCCAAAAAACAGACUUUGCCCAACAGCAAUCCUUGCCUAUUUUGUGAAAAUACUCUGACCCACAGUGGAAUUCCAGUGCGCUAUUCCGGAAACAUAACAUCCGUUCAAUGCUUCAGUAAAGAGUCUCUCUAAAAAUCAUGCUUGCUAAAGAAAAUCCUAUACGUUUAGACAAACUUUGAUGGCUAACUGAGUCUUUAUUUUAACAAAAGAACUAGGGCGGUCAAGCAAUUCAAAAAAUUAAUUGCGCUUAAUGGCAUGAUUAAAAAAAUUAAUCCCGAUUAAUAAUGUGAUUAAUCACACCGUUAAACAAUAGAAUACAUUUAUUUAAAUAGUUUUGGUUGUUUUCUACAUUUUCAAAUAUAUUGAUUUCAAUUACAACAUGGAAUACGAAGUCUACAGUGAUCACUUUAUAUUUAUUUUUGAUUACAAGUAUUUGCACUAUAGAAAAAAUAGUAUUUUCAAUUCACCUCGUACAAGUACUGUAGUGCAAUCUCUUUAUCAUGAAAGUGCAACUUACAAAUGUAGAAUUAUGUACAAAAAAUAACUGCAUUCAAAAAUAAAACAAUGUAAAAUUUUAGAGUCUGCAAGUCCACUCAGUCCUACUUCUUGUUCAGCCAAUCGCUCAGAAAAACAAGUUUGUUUACAUUUGCAGGACAUAAUGCUGCCUGCUUCUUGUUUACAGUGUCACCUGAAAGUGAGAACAGGCAUUCUCAUAGCACUGUCAUAGCCGUUGUCACAAGAUAUUUACAUGCCAGAUGCACUAAAGAUUCGUAUGUCCCUUCAUGCUUCAACCAGCAUUCCAGAGGGCAUGCGCCCAUGCUGAUGACGGGUUCUGCUCGAUAACCAUCCACAGCAAUGAGGACCAACGCACGUUCAUUUUCAUCAUCUGAGUCAGAUGCCACCAGCAGAAGGUUGAUUUUCUUUUUUGGUGGUUCGGGUUCUGUAGUUUCCGCAUCGGAGUGUUGCUCUUUUAAGACUUCUGAAAGCAUGCUCCACACCCCAUCCCUCUCAGAUUUUGGACAGCACUUCAGAUUCUUAAACCUUGGGUCCAGUGCUGUAGCUAUCUUUAGAAAUC